rnacentral:sRNA from 1 species
UCAAAUUACUUUGAAGGAAGCGAUGGAC